GAUGAACGCUGGCGGCGUGCCUAAUACAUGCAAGUCGAGCGAACGGACGAGAAGCUUGCUUCUCUGAUGUUAGCGGCGGACGGGUGAGUAACACGUGGAUAACCUACCUAUAAGACUGGGAUAACUUCGGGAAACCGGAGCUAAUACCGGAUGAUAUUUUGAACCGCAUGGUUCAAAAGUGAAAGACGGUCUUGCUGUCACUUAUAGAUGGAUCCGCGCUGCAUUAGCUAGUUGGUAAGGUAACGGCUUACCAAGGCAACGAUGCAUAGCCGACCUGAGAGGGUGAUCGGCCACACUGGAACUGAGACACGGUCCAGACUCCUACGGGAGGCAGCAGUAGGGAAUAUUCCGCAAAGGGCGAAAGCCUGACGGAGCAACGCCGCGUGAGUGAUGAAGGUCUUCGGAUCGUAAAACUCUUUUAUUAGGGAAGAACAUAUGUGUAAGUAACUGUGCACAUCUUGACGGUACCUAAUCAGAAAGCCACGGCUAACUACGUG
rnacentral:rRNA from 1 species